rnacentral:rRNA from 1 species
UACGGAGGGUGCAAGCGUUGUUCGGAAUCACUGGGCGUAAAGGGCGUGUAGGCGGUCCGGUAAGUCCGCUGUGAAAGUCGGGGGCUCAACCCUCGGAUGCCGGUGGAUACUGUCGGGCUUGAGUACGGAAGAGGCGAGUGGAAUUCCUGGUGUAGCGGUGAAAUGCGCAGAUAUCAGGAGGAACACCAAUUGCGAAGGCAGCUCGCUGGGACGUUACUGACGCUGAGACGCGAAAGCGUGGGGAGCGAACAGG